GGAUAUGAGGAUGAUCUGGCUGUGACAUCUGUCACCCCAUUGUUCACCAGGGUUGAUCUGGCUGACCUGGCUGGCUGGCUGGAUGUUCCCAUCCUCCCUCACUAUUCCAUGUGCUUCCUUCCCAAACUGCGUGUUCUAUCAAAGAGGACAACCAACCCUGACAGAAGAGGACUUGUUUCUUAGGUCAAGGGCGUAGGAGUAGCUGCACUCCCCUGCUAGAAUCUCCAAACAUCACGGGAGAAUUUUUUUUAAAAUUUGUCUAUAUUAUUGUCUUAUUAU
rnacentral:snRNA from 1 species